rnacentral:sRNA from 1 species
AAUAAAUAAAUAAAUUUAUUGAAACAUUUGGCGGUGUCACAAUUACACUGGACAUUUUUUGAGAUAUUAAUUUUUUUUUUUUUGAAUAUAUGGAAAAAUUCAUUUUUUUGGAGAAGAGAUCCCUCCGAACGUGCAUCAAACUCAACACCUCCAUCUGGGAGAUUUACCACUAGGGCAACAACACGUUGGUGUUUUGAGAUAUCAAUUAUUUGAU